rnacentral:rRNA from 1 species
ACGGGCGAGUAACACGUGAGAAUCUACCCUUUAGUGAAGAAUACCCUUGAGAAAUCAAGGUUAAUGCUGCAUACGUCCCUUCGGGGAGAAAGAUGGCCUCUUUGCUGUCGCUAAAGGAUGAGCUUGCGGACUAUUAGCUAGUUGGUGAGGUAAAGGCUCACCAAGGCAAUGAUGGAUAGCCGGCCUGAGAGGGUGUACGGCCACACUGGAACUUAGACACGGUCCAGACUCCUACGGGAGGCAGCAGUGAGGAAUAUUGCGCAAUGGGCGAAAGCCUGACGCAGCGACGCCGCGUGGAGGAUGACGGUCUUAGGAUUGUAAACUCCUGUUAAGUGGGAAGAAAGACUCGCUUUUAAUAGAAGCGAGGGAUGACGGUACCAUUAGAGAAAGCACCGGCUAACUUCGUGCCAGCAGCCGCGGUAAUACGAGGGGUGCAAGCGUUAUUCGGAUUCAUUGGGCGUAAAGGGUGCGUAGACGACUUAUUAAGUCAACUGUUAAAUUCUCCGGCCUAACUGGAGAUCUGCGGUAGAAACUGAUAGGAUUGAGGGUGGAAGAGAGAAGUGGAAUUCUCGGAGUAGCGGUA